AUGAACAGGGGUCACAUCAGCAGCUCGGAGCUCAUCGACGCCAAGCUCGAGGAACACCGGAUCUCCACCGCCAGGCACUGCCCCAACUGCCGCCACAAGCUCGACUGCAAACCGAAGGAUUGGUUGGGGCUACCGGCUGGCGUCAAGUUCGAUCCGACAGACCAGGAGCUGAUCGAGCACCUCGAGGCCAAGGUGAGGGAAGAAGGCUCGAGAUCUCACCCUCUUAUCGAUGAGUUUAUACCCACCAUAGACGGCGAGGACGGCAUAUGCUACACACAUCCUGAGAAACUUCCAGGUGUGACAAUGGACGGCCUAAGCAAGCAUUUCUUCCAUCGCCCUUCCAAGGCGUACACGACGGGCACGAGGAAGCGGCGCAAGAUACAGACGGAGUGCGAUGUGCAUAAGGGGGAGACGAGGUGGCACAAGACCGGCAAGACACGACCGGUGAUGGCCAACGGCCGGCAGAAGGGCUGCAAGAAGAUCCUGGUGCUCUACACCAACUUCGGCAAGCACCGCAAGCCUGAGAAAACUAACUGGGUGAUGCAUCAGUAUCACCUCGGUGACCUCGAGGAGGAGAAGGAGGGGGAGCUCGUCGUUUGCAAGAUCUUCUACCAGACACAGCCCAGGCAGUGCAGCUGGUCCGCCUCCUCAGACCGUGGUGGUGCCGGUGGCGCCGUAGCCAUUGCCGCCGCCGCGGCAGUGACGGUGCAGGAGCAGCGUAUGAGGGACAGCGGCAGCGGCAGCUCCUCGUCGAGGGACCACGAGGCGUUGUCGGCCACGUCGUACCCGGCCGGGUAUGCCAUGGCGGAGGCCGUCGAGAUGCAGCACUUGAAACACUCCGGCGACCAUUUCAGCUUCGCGCCUUUCAGGAAGAGCUUCGAGGAGGUUGGUAUAGGCGGCGACCAGGUGACGUCCGAUCAGCUUGGACGAUCAGAGCAUCAGCAGCAUACUGGCCAGGAACAGCAGCCUCACCGGCCGGACCUUGCAACGACGGCCGUGCCUGCCACGGCCUUCCUGGUCAGCAGGCCGACGAACCCCAUCUCAGCUACCGUUCCGCCACCGUUGCAGCACACUUCUGUCGUGCUGGACCAUGAUCAGUUUCACGUGCCAGCAAUUUUUCUCCACCACGACAAAUUUCAGAACAUGCAACAACAACAACAGCACCAGCAAAAGAUUGACCGCAGGUCUGCUGGCUUGGAAGAACUGGUAAUGGGGUGCACGUCUACAUGCACAAAAGGAGAGACUUCGAUUCCUCACUCCCAAGAGACAGAAUGGCCUUACCCAUACUGGCCUCCUGACAACCAAGAUCAUCAUGGAUAG
rnacentral:rRNA from 1 species